rnacentral:lncRNA from 1 species
UUCAUUAUUUUGUAGAGCUGCCCAAUAAAGCAUAAACAAGCAUGCAUAAUAGACGAAUUCAGCAAGAGAUCUAGUAUUUUUUUCUCAAAACAAGAUCUAUUACAUAACUUGGAUGGGAAUGUAGUGGCUUAUCAUGAAGGUGAUGCACUCAUGGACUUGUAGUAGAGCUGGUAGCUGCCACAACAGCUUCCCUAUAUGUGGGUGGCUUUGAGGCAGGCGUCACAGAGGGGCAUCUCUCCUCCAUAUCCUAUUGGGUCACAUCUGUGGAGUCCCUCAGCAUCUACCAUGACUUUGCUAUCGGGUCCCAUGGCUAUGGCUACUUCAAAUUCCACCCACAGAAGGAUGAUGAGAUCUGAUCUAUUAGAUCCCAAAAUACCUAAAUCAUUAUAUCUCCAUGAGCAUGCAUGCUAAAGGUAGCAGAUCAAACCCAAACGAACAAGUAAAAAAGGCCAAGACACUCACCGUCCUCUUGGGGUAAAAAUCGAUGUAGUUGUAGCCACAAGACCUAUAAGCAACUUCAUGGCAGAUGCGCAAGGAAGCCACGGGCGCGACCUGGUCAUAGAUCUAGAAGAGUUGCCCCUCCGUAACACCUGCCUUGAGGUCAUCAUUGAGGCCAGGAAUGGUUGGUUUGUCAUUGCUGACGAUGGUCGCCAACCCAAUGGACCUAGGAGGUGGCGGCGUCAUCGGAUUCAGGGCGGAACGCUUGCCAUUGGCGGUGGAUGUUCACUAACCAGACGAGUGAAAACUACUAUACUAUGGGUAACCGGCUUGUCUAGUUGUAUCGAUUGUAUAUUGAGUCCUCUCUUAUCGGCACCGAGUCCUCCUGUCUGGUGGAUGCUCUCUCCGGUAUGCUUUUGUAUAGGUGCUAAUUAAUGACAUUUAUUUGCUACCUUUUAGAUAGGCUUCGGGUGUAACUGUUAGAGGAGACGAGUAUUUUUUGUGUAUCUGCAUGCUGGAGAGUUGCGGUAAUUGGGUCCACAUGCCAGUCUAUAUGCGCGUGAUGGGCUGCUGUAUGUAGGUAGAUAUGGACUACAAAGUUCUUCUAUCUAUUUAGAAGAUAUCACUACUGAUUAAUGUUUGAGAUAGAGUAGAUAUCACCACAAAUUAAUGUUUGAUAUAGAUUAGAUCAACUUUUACCACAUCGUGGUCAAUGAUCAUUGACUCGUGAGGGGUCCCUCACCGCCUUUCUUGGUCAAGGCAUCUCCAACACCGCCCCUCAAGCCUCCUGCAUCCGUCCAGACAGUGAAAGCUAUCCAACGUGCUCCUGUAUUGGUACGAGGUGCGGUCCAGAUGUAUACUUUCUCCCGCAAAUGGGAGACAAACGUGGGGAGUGGGAGGGGGCUUGCGGGAGUCCGCACCGCUCCCAUGCCCGCUUCUGACCUCCCUAGCCCACCCAAAACCCCUUUCGCAUCCUGCCGCUUCUUGCCCGGCGCCAACUGCCCGCAUUCAUGCCGUUGUAGAGCGCGCUGCUCCACAUAUUGAAGUUGCGCAGUGCCCGAUGGCGCUGGCCGCUGCCCGCUCAACUGAACACGGCUCCAUUAAACCCGUGUGAAAGCCAAGGAGCCUACUCCGGCCACACAUUUGUUCACGAGUGGGCCAGUAUUAAACACAAUGUUGGACAAGCUCCUCCCAUCUGCCCUCUAUUUAAACAAGGCCAGACGCUGGGCAAGAAUCGCACCACUCCACCACUCCCCAUCUCAUCCUUCCACAAUUUUCUUCGCCCUCUCAAUGGCAUCCGAUGAGCAGGAAGAGCAUUUCCCUGGCAUAAAAGCCAGCUAGGUGUCACACUAAGCCCGCCGAAUAUGAGUGAGGCAGCUCGCUGCUCCACCUCCCUCGCCUGGCCCGACGGAGCUAGUUGCCACCCCAAGCCGGCGCGUGGUACACCACCUCGCCACUCCAAGCCAGCUCACAAGGGAGCGGUCAUUUGCUCUAGGAUGACAUGACGGCACAGGCAUCGUAGCAGCCGUGCCGAUGCCGCGUCAUACUGCGUCUCUCAUGCCUACGAUCGCGCCAUCCGCCGACAAUGCGUGAGUAGCCGCGCCCUACCGGCAGAGAAAGAAGCCGGCAGCACAAAGAUCGACGAGUCGGUGGAUGACGCGUCCGCGUCCGCCGUCAACAUCAAGGGAAAGUAGAACACAGAGGCCGCCGCCACUUGGGUCCCAGGAAGGCCACCACUUGCGCGUCAACGGCUUGUAUAGUCGGUGACCUGUCCGGUUCUUCUUUAUCUCAGACCAUCAUCAGCCCCGCCUAGGCUCCACGAAAGAGGAGCUCCCCUUUCCCUCCAGCUGAAGCACCCUCUUUUCCACUGCGAUGAGCGGCGCAACCAGACAUAGGGAAGAUAUGGGGGAAGAAUAUACCCUCGGGGCUCUCGGCAGUCCGGGAAGUGGGUUGCCGACAUGGGGAAGACAAAGGGAUCCGCCGCAUCCGGCCAUAGACUAGUGUAGUGUUUCCGUGUCAUAGGAGUGGAGCUCCGUGCGACUGUAUGUGCACAUAGUUUUAUCUUUUUAGUUAAAAACAUGUCCAAAAUGUAAUUGUUUUGUCCGGUUUGUAUGAAAUCCAUCAUGUUUAUACGAAAUCCACCCAUGUUUGCAUGAAUUUCAUCUGGUUUGUUGAAAAAAUGUUUGCAAUAUAUGCGGCUACGGUUGGAUGGCGGCCUCUCACAUCCAUGCCCGUGGAUGGAUGCGGAAGGAAAUUUGUUGGUUGCCGUUGGAGAUGCCCUCAAGCCAAUGUUUGGGCGGGUGUAAGGUGUCCCGUCAUGGGUACAUACAAAGUAUUGUAGGAUUUCUGGUCAAUAGAACGGGAAAGUCUCCGGGUGUGGAAACAUCCUCAUAAUCUUUACUACUCCAUCAUGAUUUUUAAGUCUCACGCAUAUUUCAGUAUAAACAUUGAAAAUUAAUUUAUUCAACGAAAUAUUAGUUAUAUGUCACAAAAACAAAAUAUUAGAUUCACAUUUUAAACAAGUUUUCAAUGGUAUACUUUUUGUGACAUAUAACUCAUAUUUUAUUGAUAAAUCAACGUACAUUUUUUAUUGAAAUGCCUGAGACUUAUGAACCAUGAUAGAGGUCAGACACCACGAACGACGGAAUUUAUCCCCAUGGUAUCUCUGACAAAAUGGUUACUCUAAUGUCACUUAUCAAUAUGUGUAUUCUAAUGAAUAAUGUGAAGCAUAUCGCCUUCUAAAACCUUGCUUACCCAUUGAAAUGUUCUACUCCCUCUUGCUAGUAAUUACCUACACUUAUAUCCCCACUCCUUGGACAGAAUUUUGCUAGGUCUGCAACCAAUUCCUUGUAAAUAAUGGCUUUUAGUUUUCAUGUGAAGUUCUUAAAAGUCUUCUGUUUGAGUCAAUUAUUGAUAUGUCAAUUUUGUAGAAUGUUUUCCUACUAUUAUUUAUAAUGUUUUUACGCAUAAUAAUGCUUUUUGGAGUAAUUCUAAUGUCUUUUCUCUCAUAAUAUGUAAGGUUCACACAAAGGGGGAGAAUACCGGCAGCUAGAAUUCUGGGCUUGAAAAAGCUACGUUAUGCCAACUAUUCUGCACAACUCCAAAUGAGUUGAAACUUCAUGGGGAUUUUUUAUAGAAUAGAUAAGAAUUAUUGGAGCAAAUAACCACCAAAGGGGGCCCACCAGGUGGGCACAACCCACCUGGGCACGCCAGGGAGCCCAGGCGCGCCCUGGUGAGUUGUGCCCUCCUCGUCCCACCUCGAGUGCCCAUCUUCUGGUAUAUAAGUCAUUUUGACCUAGAAAAAAAUUAGGAGAGGACUUUUGGACAAAGCUCUGAUGUCUCGAGGCGGAACUUGGGUAGGAGCACUUUUGCCCUCCGGUAGAGCGAUUCCACCGGGGGAACUUCCCUCUCGGAGGGGGAAAUGAUCGUCAUCAUCAUCACCAACAACUCUCCCAUCUUGGGGAGGGGAAUAUCCAUCAAGAUCUUCAACAGCACCAUCUCCUCUCAAAUACUAGUUCAUCUCUUGUGUUCAAACUUUCUACCGGAACCUUAGAUUGGUGCUUGUGGGUGACUAGUAGUGUUGAUUACACCUUGUAGUUGAUUACUAUAUGAUUUAUUUGGUGGAAGAUUAUAUGUUCAGAUCCAUUAUGCUAUUUAAUACCCCUCUGAUCAUGAGCAUUAUUAUCAUUUGUGAUUAGUUACUUUGGUUCUUGAGGUCAUGGGAGAAAUCUUGUUGCAAGUAAUCAUGUGAACUUGAUAUGUGUUUGAUAUUUUGAUCGUAUGUAUGUUGUGAUUCCCUCAGUCGUGUCAUGUGAACAUCGACUACAUGACACUUCACCAUACUUGGGCCUAAGGGAAUGCAUUGUGGAUUAGUUAUUAGAUGAUGGGUUGCGAGAGUGACAGAAGCUUAAACCCUAGUUUAUGCGCUACUUCGCAAGGGAUUGAUUUGGAUCCAAAAGUUUAAUGCUAUGGUUAGAUUUAUUCUUAAUACUUUUCUCGUAGUUGCGGAUGCUUGCGAGGAGGUUAAUAAUAAGUAGGGGGUUUGUUCAAGUAAGAAUAGCACCUAACCACCGGUCCAUCCACAUAUCAAAUUAUCAAAGUACCGAACAUGAAUCAAACCAACAUGAUGAAAGUGACUAGAUGAAAUUCCCGUGUACCCUCAAGAACACAUUGCUUACCAUAAGAGACUGUUUUGGCAUGUCCUUUGCCUCAAAAGGAUUGGGCUACCUUGCUGCACUUUUGUUACCGAUACCGUUACUUUCUUGUUACAAAUUAUCUUGCUAUCAAUCUACUCGUUACUUAUAAUUUCAAUGCUUGCAGAGAAUACCUUGCUGAAAACUACUUGUCAUUUCCUUCUGCUCCUUGUUGGGUUUGACACUCUUACUUAUCAAAAGGACUAUGAUUGAUCCCCUAUACUUGUGGGUCAUCAAUUAUUCAGUAACGUAUAUAUACUAAUUUUUAGAGAAUCAUUACCCGUUCUUUUGUAGUCAUCUCUGCCUUACUAUGAGACGGCAAGAAGCCAUCUUCUUAAUGUUGGGUCAUUACUCUAUUUUGUAGACUCAAAUAAGCAGUGCUUCAGUUGCACAUUUGAUGUUAGGGUGUGCAUCUGCAGACCACAUUGGUUGGUAGUACAAAACUAUGGGGUUAGUUUGCUUACUAUACUUACUGAUCUUUAGCUUUCUCUGUUGUCCCCUUCUCUCAUUUUUUCUGCACAGUUUGAAUGUUUAGUUUGCUUAGCACAUUUUCUGUGCAGUGCCAUGAUUUCAGAUUGAUCUAAGCAUAGAUUAUGCUUGGAAGACAGAUUCAUCAGAGAUUGCCUGAUCUCAUCCUAAUCUGCUACCCCUUCUAAGCACAGCUAUUGUUCGAAUGCCAAUUCUUCAAGACAAGGCAAAUGCAUUGGCCAAGCAUCGAUCAGUGCACUUCCAUCAACAUGUUACAUUAGCACGAUGACCAUUUUGUGAUUGAUGGCUGGGUGCCCAUAGACCGGGAUGGCCAAUACACAAUGGGUAAACUCAAAGGUGGUAUGAUAUUGGAGAAAUUUGGGGGACAGAAACAACGGAUAAGUGGGGGUUCUGAGUGAGUCUCUGGCCGUUGGCCGCAGAUGGCUGCCACCCUGCAGGAGCUAAGAAGCAGGAAAUUCUGGCUAGACAACACUAUGCUAGUGUUUUUGUAUAUCCCGGAGUGGGGGCUAGAGGAAAGUUGCGGGCCCUCCUUGUGGUUACAUCGCAUAUUCGCAAUUGCAGAGAAAUAUUUGAUGGCUCCUUGAUAUGCACCUCAUAUUUGGAAACCGUGACAACUUCAGAAACACCUAUGGUGACCGUGCUAAAUAGCGGUCAUCCACGACAUCCUUUGUGGCGAACAAUGCAACACAUGGCACAAGUCAGGUUUGGAGAUCCCACACGCCUACCAGCCGCAGAUUAUUCGCAACAACAGAUAGGCUUCAACACUAUGGGAUUUCAGCGACCAACUGCCGGAGACGAUGCCACAUUUGCUUCUUGGAUAUGUUGUUGCACGAGAGGUCUCACAUUCCAUCCUCCAUGAAUGGCAGCAUCUGGAGUAGACAUCUGCCCACUACGAGCAGUUGAUUCGCAUGGCAAACAACACGCUCAAUGUGAUGGAGGGACACAAGAUACAUGUGGACAGCCAUCAUGUUGGUGUCAGGGUGCAUCUGUCUGGCAUCACCGUGAAUGAUGUGAUCGUCAAUGACAUGGAGGUUUCAGGAGCCAUUUUUCUCUAUGCCUAGAAAUAAGAGAAUCUUGACAUUAUGUGUUCAAGAACUGAGUUUAGCUUUAACGGAUUAUUGUGUAACUGUGCCACUAUUCAAUUCUCGCUAUAGCAUGUUGUCUAGGAGCAUAGUCUACACCAGAAGAUUUGACAAAUGGCAUAGAAGUUCUUAUUGAACAUAGAUAUAUUGUUCUUGGAAGGAACGCAUAUAUAUUCAAUAAGUUAGUAGCAUCGGUUGCCCCAGCACGUGUGCAUCUGUAGCACCAACAGCUGCUCAUUUGUUGUCAUGUCAUCUCGCAGCGACUACAUGCAUCUGUAGUAGUUCUCACAGAAGAAGCAAUACAUUUUUAUCAACAUGAAAUUUGUUUGGUAAAAUCCAUGAGAACUUCAUCAGUAACCAAUUGAUUGGUACCCCACAUAAGACAAGCAGGCGUGUUCCUUUCAAAAAAACUUCAAAAUGGACAUCAUUUUUCAUGAGUUCUUUCAGGAGUAAAGUAAGGUAAGGUCUUUGGUCACCAUUCACCUACCAUUUUAGUUAGUUCUACAUGUACAACUGAUUCAGCAACUCGAAUUUGAAAGGAAUUCUUUAAAAGGAAAUCAGUUAAGCAACUCGAAUGAAUCCAUCAUGCAUUGGUCUGAAAUCCAAGGAAAUAUGAGCAAAACCCCCCAAAUCUAAUUGAAGCACCGAACAUCUUUCAGAAGGAGAUUAACUCUUUCAGAACCUUUCAAAAGAUGGCAUAUCAAGGAUCAAAAUCGACCACAUAGAUUGAUGACCAAGACUUCAUCCAUUAGUUUGGAUGCCUCAUAUGAUGAUAAUUCCAACCAUGGAACCACAGGUGUGGUGAUCCGUGAUAGCCCAUGCAUUCUUAUUCAUACACAGGCCCUCUGGUAUGAUUUUGCUGCUAGUCCAAUGACGAAAGAAGCUGUAGUGAUAUGCAAUGGAGCGCACAUGCCCCUUGAGAGGGGGUUAUGUAGAGUAAUGAUUUAGAGUGAUGCACAAGCUAUCAUCAAGCUAUGGGAGUCAUGCGGCUUCGAUCAUGGAGAGAUUGCUGGAGCCUUGUGGAUUGAAGAACUGAGUGUGCAUUUUGAGAGUUCUAUGCUCAGCUUUGUUGGACAAGAUGCUAGUAUGGCAGCUCAUUUAUGUGCUAAACUGGUGACCAAGUUUAGGAAGAGAUGUUUAUGGCUUAAUUUUACCCCUCUACUCCUAGUGAACACAUUCCAUUGUGAGUGUAUGCUUGAUUAAGUAAGCAAUAAAGCUCUUUCACUCACAAAAAAGUAGAAAUUGCAACGCGGCCAUCCUAGCAUAUCAAAACAUUUCUAAUUGUGGCGAUGACCUUUUUUCCAUAUGAUCCUAGAAAAUGGAUUGGGUUCCACUAUCAAGGGAUAACGAAACUACAAAUGCACAAAAAACAUCCUGGUCCAAGAACAUAGCCUAAAACUGGUUUCAACUGCUAACAAUAAAAGCUAAUGGAUCCAAAUCUACUGCAAGUUGACUUGGGGUUCACAAUCAUCCCAAGUAAAAUGUUUUCGAUCACUAGCAUGAUCAUUCAGAAAACUCCAUUGCAUCAUUCUUCGUCCAGUCUUUCUCCAUUGGUUCACCUGCACCCACUUCUUAUUCCUCAGUUUCUCCAGUGUUACUUGCCUCAAUCCUCAACACAAGAUUUCUUGGCUCCGCACGCCCACGAACAUGAUGUGCCAAUGCUUCUCGCUUCAAAGCAACAACACCUUGUUCCAAAAUUGCAUACUCUUCAUUAUUUUGUAGAGCUGCCCAAUAAAGCAUAAAUAGGCAUGCAUAAUAGACGAAUUUAGCAAGAGAUCUAGUAAUUUUUUUUCUCGAAACAAGAUCUAUUACAUAACUUGGAUGGGAAUGUAGUGGCUUAUCGUGAAGGUGAUGCACUCAUGGACUUGUAGUAGAGCUGGUAGCUGCCACAACAGCUUCCCUAUAUGUGGGUGGCCUUGAGGCAGGCGUCGCAGAGGGGCAUCUCUCCUCCAUCUCCUAUUGGGUCACAUCUGUGGAGUCCCUCGGCAUCUACAAUGACUUUGCUAUCAGGUCCCAUGGCCAUGGCUACUUCAAAUUCCACUCACAGAAGGAUGAUGAGAUCUGUUCUAUUAGAUCCCAAAAUACCUAAAUCAUUAUAUCUCCAUGAGCAUGCAUGCUAAAGGUAGCAGAUCAAACCCAAACGAACAAGUAAAAAAUACCAAGACACUCACCAUCCUCUUGGGGUGGAAAUCGAUGUACUCGUAGCCACAAGACCUAUAAGCAACUUCGUGGCAGAUGCGCAAGGAAGCCAUGAGCGCGACCUGGUCAUAGAUCUAGAAGAGUUGCCCCUCCGUAACACCUGCCUCAGGGUCAUCAUUGAGGCCAGGAAUGGUUGGUUUGUCAUUGCUGCCGAUGGUCGCCAACCCAAUGGACCUAGGAGGCAGCGACGUCAUCGGAUUCAGGGUGGAACGCUUGCCAUUGGCGAUGGAUGUUCACUAACCAGACGAGUGAAAACUACUAUAAUAUGGGUAACCGGCUUGUCUAGUUGUAUCGACUAUAUAUUGAGUCCUGUCUUAUCGGCACCGAGUCCUCCUGUUUGGUGGAUGCUCUCUCCGAUAUGCUUUUGUAUAGGUGCUAAUUAAUGACAUUUAUUUGCUACCUUUUAGAUAGGCUUCGGGUGUAAUUGUUAGAGGAGACAAGUAUUUUUUGUGUAUCUGCAUGCUGGAGAGUUGCGGUAAUUGGGUCCACAUGCCAGUCUAUAUGCGCGUGAUGGGCUGCUGUAUGUAGGUAGAUAUGGACUACAAAGUUCUUCUAUUCCAUUUAGAAGAUAUCACUACUGAUUAAUGUUUGAGAUAGAGUAGAUAUCACUACAAAUUAAUGUUUGAGAUAGAUUAGAUCAACUUUUACCACAUCGUGGUCAAUGAUCGUUGACUCGUGAGGGGUCCCUCGCCGCCUUUCUUGGUCAAGGCAUCUCCAACACCGCCCCUCAAGCCUCCUGCAUCCGUCCGGAAAAUUAAAGCUAUCCAACGUGCUCCUAUAUCGGUACGAGGCGCGGUCCAGAUGUACACUUUCUCCCACAAAUGGGAGACAAAUGUGGCGAGUGGGAGGGGGCUUUGUGGGAGUAUGCGUGGCUCCCACGCCCACUUCUGACCGCCCUAGCCCACCCAAAACCCCUUUCGCAUCCCGCGCGCUUCCUGCCCGGCGCCAACUUCCUGCAUUCAUGCCGUUGUAGAGCGCGCCGCUCCACAUAUUGAAGUUUCGCACUGCCCGAUGGCGCCGGCCGCUGCCCGCUCGACUGAACAUGGCUCCAUUAAACCCGUGUGAAAGCCGAGGAACCUACUCCGGCCACACAUUUGUUCACGAGUGGGCCAACAUUAAACGCAACGCUCUGGGCAAGCUCCUCCCGUCCACCCUCUAUUUAAACAAGGCCAGACGCUAGGCAAGAAUCGCACCACUCCGUUGCUCCCCAGCGUUACUCGCCUCGAUCGUCAACACAAGAUUUCUUGGCUCCGCGCGCCCAACAACAUGAUGUGCCAAUGCUUCUCACUGCAAAGAAACAACACCUAGUUCCUGAAUCGCACACUCUUCAUUAUUUUGUAGACCUACCCAAUAAAGCAUAAAUAGGCAUGCAUAAUAGACGAAUUCAGCAAGAGAUCUAGUAAUUUCUUUUAUCAGAACAAGAUCUAUUACAUAACUUGGAUGGGAAUGUAGUGGAUUAUCGUGAAGGUGAUGCACUCAUGGACUUGUAGUAGAGCUGGUAGCUGCCACAACAGCUUCCCUAUAUGUAGGUGGCCUUGAGGCAAGCGUCGCGGAGGGGCAUCUCUCAUCCAUCUCCUAUUAGGUCACAUAUGUGGAGUCCCUCGGCGUCUACCAUGACUUUGCUAUCAGGUCCCAUGGCUAUGGCUACUUCAAGUUCCACUCAUAGAAGGACAAUGAGAUCUGAUCUAUUAGAUCCCAAAAU